rnacentral:rRNA from 1 species
CAAUCCAUGAGUGAAGUGGCGACCGGGUGAGUAACACGUGACUAACCUACCCUAGAGUGGGGGAUAACCUCGGGAAACCGGGGCUAAUACCGCAUAACAUCGCAAGGGGAAGCUCCUUGCGAUCAAAGAAACAAUUCGCUCAAGGAGGGGGUCGCGGCUGAUUAGCUAGUUGGUGAGGUAACGGACCACCAAGGCUUAUAUCAGUAGCCGGCCUGAGAGGGCGCACGGCCACACUGGAACUGAAACACGGUCCAGACUCCUACGGGAGGCAGCAGUGGGGAAUUUUGCGCAAUGGGGGAAACCCUGACGCAGCAACGCCGCGUGGAGGAUGAAGUCCCUUGGGAUGUAAACUCCUUUCGAUCGGGACGAUAAUGACGGUACCGGAAGAAGAAGCACCGGCUAACUCUGUGCCAGCAACCGCGGUAAUACAGAGGGUGCAAGCGUUGUUCGGAAUUAUUGGGCGUAAAGGGCGCGUACGCGGUGCGGUAAGUCUGUGGUGAAAUCUCCGGGCUCAACUCGGAAAUUGCCGCGGGGACUGCCGUGCUGGAGUGUGGGAGAGGUGAGUGGAAUUCCCGGUGUAGCGGUGAAAUGCAUAGAUAUCGGGAGGAACACCUGUGGCGAAAGCGGCUCACUGGACCACAACUGACGCUGAGGAGCGAAAGCUAUGGGAGCAAACAGGAUUAGAUACCCUGGU